rnacentral:tRNA from 1 species
UAAAUAAUAGUAUAAAAUUAUAUUCAGUUUCGACCUGAAAGACGGUUUAAACCUUAUUUAU